rnacentral:rRNA from 1 species
ACGGAAGGUGCGAGCGUUAAUCGGAAUUACUGGGCGUAAAGCGCACGCAGGUGGCUCCUUAAGUCGGAUGUGAAAGCCCUGGGCUUAACCUGGGAAUUGCAUCCGAUACUGGGUGGCUAGAGUACGGUAGAGGGAGGUGGAAUUCCAGGUGUAGCGGUGAAAUGCGUAGAGAUCUGGAGGAACACCGGUGGCGAAGGCGGCCUCCUGGACUGAUACUGACACUGAGGUGCGAAAGCGUGGGAGCAAACAG